CCCCUCUCAGAAUUACACCUGGAGAGUUUACAGUACCCUUCCAGUCUUGACUACUGGAGGGAGAGACAAGAAGAGGCAUAUUCAUUCCAGUCCUAGCUUGGGCAGUGGCUAGUGAGUGGAAGGCAAUCUGCUACAAGU